rnacentral:rRNA from 1 species
GAUGAACGCUGGCGGCGUGCCUAAUACAUGCGAGUCGAGCGAACAGACGAGGAGCUUGUUCCUCUGACGUUAGCGGCGGACGGGUGAGUAACACGUGGAUCACCUACCUAUAAGACUGGGAUAACUUCGGGAAACCGGAGCUAAUACCGGAUAAUAUAUUGAACCGCAUGGUUCAAUAGUGAAAGACGGUUUUGCUGUCACUUAUAGAUGGAUCCGCGCCGCAUUAGCUAGUUGGUAAGGUAACGGCUUACCAAGGCAACGAUGCGUAGCCGACCUGAGAGGGUGAUCGGCCACACUGGAACUGAGACACGGUCCAGACUCCUACGGGAGGCAGCAGUAGGGAAUCUUCCGCAAUGGGCGAAAGCCUGACGGAGCAACGCCGCGUGAGUGAUGAAGGUCUUCGGAUCGUAAAACUCUGUUAUUAGGGAAGAACAAAUGUGUAAGUAACUAUGCACGUCUUGACGGUACCUAAUCAGAAAGCCACGGCUAACUACGUG